rnacentral:rRNA from 1 species
AUUGAACGCUGGCGGCAGGCCUAACACAUGCAAGUCGAGCGGAUGAAGGGAGCUUGCUCCUGGAUUCAGCGGCGGACGGGUGAGUAAUGCCUAGGAAUCUGCCUGGUAGUGGGGGAUAACGUCCGGAAACGGGCGCUAAUACCGCAUACGUCCUGAGGGAGAAAGUGGGGGAUCUUCGGACCUCACGCUAUCAGAUGAGCCUAGGUCGGAUUAGCUAGUUGGUGGGGUAAAGGCCUACCAAGGCGACGAUCCGUAACUGGUCUGAGAGGAUGAUCAGUCACACUGGAACUGAGACACGGUCCAGACUCCUACGGGAGGCAGCAGUGGGGAAUAUUGGACAAUGGGCGAAAGCCUGAUCCAGCCAUGCCGCGUGUGUGAAGAAGGUCUUCGGAUUGUAAAGCACUUUAAGUCGGGAGGAAGGGCAGUAAGUUAAUACCUUGCUGUUUUGGCGUUACCAACAGAAUAAGCACCGGCUAACUUCGUG